rnacentral:rRNA from 1 species
GUAAUAAUCCUGUAGUCGAAAAUGUUGUCUCUCUUGAGUGGAUCCUGAGUACGACGGAGCACGUGAAAUUCCGUCGGAAUCUGGGAGGACCAUCUCCUAAGGCUAAAUACUCUCUAGUGACCGAUAGUGAACCAGUACCGUGAGGGAAAGGUGAAAAGCACCCCGGAAGGGGAGUGAAAUAGAACCUGAAACCGUGUGCUUACAAGUAGUCAGAGCCCGUUAAUGGGUGAUGGCGUGCCUUUUGUAGAAUGAACCGGCGAGUUACGAUUUGAUGCAAGGUUAAGCAGUAAAUGUGGAGCCGUAGCGAAAGCGAGUCUGAAUAGGGCGUUUAGUAUUUGGUCGUAGACCCGAAACCAGGUGAUCUACCCUUGGUCAGGUUGAAGUUCAGGUAACACUGAAUGGAGGACCGAACCGACUUACGUUGAAAAGUGAGCGGAUGAACUGAGGGUAGCGGAGAAAUUCCAAUCGAACCUGGAGAUAGCUGGUUCUCUCCGAAAUAGCUUUAGGGCUAGCCUCAAGUGAUGAUUAUUGGAGGUAGAGCACUGUUUGGACGAGGGGCCCCUCUCGGGUUACCGAAUUCAGACAAACUCCGAAUGCCAAUUAAUUUAACUUGGGAGUCAGAACAUGGGUGAUAAGGUCCGUGUUCGAAAGGGAAACAGCCCAGACCACCAGCUAAGGUCCCAAAAUAUAUGUUAAGUGGAAAAGGAUGUGGCGUUGCCCAGACAACUAGGAUGUUGGCUUAGAAGCAGCCAUCAUUUAAAGAGUGCGUAAUAGCUCACUAGUCGAGUGACACUGCGCCGAAAAUGUACCGGGGCUAAACAUAUUACCGAAGCUGUGGAUUGUCCUUUGGACAAUGGUAGGAGAGCGUUCUAAGGGCGUUGAAGCAUAAUCGUAAGGACAUGUGGAGCGCUUAGAAGUGAGAAUGCCGGUGUGAGUAGCGAAAGACGGGUGAGAAUCCCGUCCACCGAUUGACUAAGGUUUCCAGAGGAAGGCUCGUCCGCUCUGGGUUAGUCGGGUCCUAAGCUGAGGCCG